UUCCUGUUCUUUUUAAUUUCACAAUUUCCAAGGCAAUAGUCCUAUUUCUAAUUCAUACACACAGCAUAAAAAUGAAGGCGAUGAGAAAGAUCCAUUGCCAGUGGCAUAAAGCAAAGGAGUUUUAGUGUAGUAUAUUGGAAACAGUUAAGCAUAGGCUACAACCUAGCAAAGAUGUCAUUUCAUGAAUAUUCAUAUCAAUGGCCUUUUAUGAUGUCGUGCCUCUCAAGGAUAUUGUGUGUCAAAACAAAAUUUGGACUAAGAGGGACUAAAUUGUUCCUCCCAUUUGGUUGGCUAAUAAAGAGUCCAUCUUGAGACAGACACAGCGGACAGGGCAAAUGAAUGGCCCGUCACAAAGGGCUAAGCAGAAUGAAGAUACAGUUUGGCAGAACAGAAUAUUGAGAAACCAGCUGAGAGAGGACCCAGUAGAGAUGAUAUUUUUCCCUUUCCCAUCUAAUACAAAACUGCAGUGACUUUAAUCCAAUUCUUGUACUGAGAAGGAAGAAGCAUGUUCUGCCAAUUUUCAGUUCAGCCCAGGAAAACAAAGGGACAUAUGUGGCCUGAGUGGUUACUGGUAAUCAUCUGUGACAAUGAAAAUAACCAGAGGCAGGAUAUGCCAAUGCUUAGAAAGCUGAAAAAAAAAACCUGUAUCCUUGGCAACAUCAUUGAGCUGCUGAUUGUACCAAGCUCUGAAGCCCACUCCGUAUCUGGAAAAUAAAAUUUGUUACUGAGUAAGAAGGUUCAAGUAAGGACAUUUCUCUGUUACUUUUAGUAAAAAGUAUCCCCUGGCUUCACUAGAAGAAUAGACUACAGAAGAGUGCUACAAAGUCUGUCUUCAAUUUGAGAGAGCAGCACAAGUAACAGGCAGGCAGGCUGGAUGUGGUCAACUAGUAUUUUACUU
rnacentral:lncRNA from 1 species